GAAAGACAGCAGCAGCCCGACACCAGCACGGGCUUCCGUCUACCGCCCCGCGCAUGCGCAGUUCCAGGAUUCAUGCUGCAUUCACGGACUGUCCGUAGAACCGCCGUGUUCACCUUCACUCAUUACUGCAAGGUGAUUGGCUGAGGCGAGGCGUGGCUGCUGUGGAGAAACCUGAAAAAUGGAGACACCUUCUGAACCUGCAUACUGUGUGUAGUGAUGAAGAAAUAGCACAUCUUUUGCUACAGAUACCUCCUGGUGUCACUCCUUCAUUCCAUUACCCACUUAUUCACAGUUCUCUCAGAUUUUGUUAUUUGCUACUGUCUACCAGACCUCUCACCUUCUGUUCUUUGUUCUCUUACCCUUUGUCAUUGAGCAACUAUACACAAACUAACAACUAUUCACCUUGGUAUUUACAUAUACCCCCCUCCUACCCUAUUGCCCACCCUCUGACCAUCCCUACAAACUCUGCAAAUGUUCUGGGUUGGCUUACCUUUGCAGACUCUGUGUCGGUAAACCCACCGUAUACCAGAAUACUAAUAAACACCCCAAUACAGCAAACGUCGAAGGACUAAGAGUGAAAUUUCUUCAACAGUAGCAACACUUCAAUCAUUUACUAUCAAUUCUUUUUGAAAAAAAGAUUUACCCUGUCUCAAAAAAUAUUGCCCUACAACAGGCACUCCAAACUAUAUGGCACACUACAGUAAAUCCAUUCUUUCCUUUUGGCUGAUAAACAGACAAUAUGAAACACUUCUAAUGCUUGUAAGAACAGUUAUCAUAUCUUUUCAUGGACUGGGGGAACUUAGUCCUCAUUGUAGAUAGAAAUGAUUUAACAACCUGACUGCCUAAUCAGUGACCUAAAUACAACAGUCAAAAGGUCAAGUGACACCUUAUAGCUUUAGCUUCUCAAACAGAGAAAUGUGGAUCUCCAUGUUCUAUACCUCAGGUUCAUAUAGAAAAUUCCCACAUGUUGAUUCCUGUUUGAGUCUUUAUUCCACUUUCAAUAAAAAGAGCAGGAUACAAAAGCACAUGCAUGACCAAAACAUUUGGUUACAUUAAAAAUUGCUUCAAAGUCUUUGCAAAAUAUUUACAUCACUUUCCAGUGAGUAUGUUUGAAACUAUGUUCCCACACUGAAACGUCUCUAUGGGUCAAGGUCCGUAUUCGGAUCUGGUAACUGGAUUUUCCGUUCUGAAACGGGUAUUGAAAAACAAAAAACGAGUGGUUAUUUGAUUUUCGUUUUAAAAUACAAAAAUUAAAAUUGAAAUACAAGGUGUUUUUCCUUUUCAUGAUCAAAAAGGAAUAUACGAUUUUAAAAAAAAAAAAAAAAUUCUUUGAUUUUCGUUUUAUAUUUAGAAUAACAAGAAAAUAAAAUCAGUAAGAGACAGAAACGAAAAAAGGUCCGUUUUUUCAUUUUUUGAGACCGGAAGUGGUCAUCAGCAAGUGUGGCGCAGUGAUUGGUCAGACCAUAGACACUAUAGAAAACAGCGCGCUAGCGUAUGUCGUCUGCUAUAUAUAUCUAUGGUCGGUACGUCUGGUAGCAUCUCUGCCUGCUGUUGACCUUGUUUUUGGAGUAAAACACGGUAAGAAGAUAAAUACUUCUAACCUGUAGCGUUAUUUUGUUGUACGUUAAGUCAGCGACUUGUGAAGAGUUGUUUUUUGUCGUGUUUGAGCAGUUGGUCCGGACGCGUUAGCUAGCUAAAAAGGCUGUUAGCUAGCGGGCUAAUUAACACAGGUGGCUAACGUCCCGCUGAACACCUGUGUUAGUUGCUGCCGCACCUGUCCGUCAUUAUUAGAAUGCUGUGUAUUUUAGCUUUUAAAAAAGUUAUUUUACUUUAAGGUUAACUGAAACCCGUUCAGCUGUACUGAAGUUUAACAUUCAGCUGGUUUGAAUUAAACAUUACCUCUCUGAAUCUCCAUAAUUUCAUUAAAUUCCUUCUCUCUUCCACUGCUCAAGUUCAAUCCAGUAUUCAAAAUGACAUUGAUAGUGAAUAAACUAACAACCAGCCAUUGUAUUUAUUUAUUACUGCAUGUAUUUGUAGUAAAACAUGAGUUGAAACAUCCUACUUUUGGAUCUAGAACUGCACAAGCCGUUCAUUUUUAGUCACCUGAUGAGUUAAACUCCCCUUUUUAUGUGAGGUUGAAACAGAAAGUCUGAGUAAACAAAGAAAGUUCUUUAUAAUUUGCGAUACCUGUUAUCUCUGACUGAGGCUUUAGUUUUUGUUGAGCCGAUUUACACGUAGAAACUUUGUUCAGGAAGAUUACUCAGUAGUUUAGAGGACAGGCUGCUUUUUACACAACCUUGUAAGAGAAUGUCUGUCAAUGCUUUCAGCAGAAUUUAGAAACACACUUCCUAAACAGAUAAUUUGAGGCUGUGAGGUUGAAUGAGAGUAUAUCAAUGUGUUGUGGUCUUUCUGUUUCUAGGUGGAAGCUGAAUUAGUGAGGAUGACUCCUGCUCCUGUCAUCUCUAAGCUCCUCACACAUCUUUACCUGCACAUGAGGAAAAUCACUCCUGUAGAAUGCAGAUGUUCAGAGGGAGAUGAUGCCACAUCUGGUCCAGCUGAUGGAAGGUCUUGAAGUUCUCUGACUGGCCUCGACUGAAGAUGGUCGUCUCACUGGAUUUAAGGUUCAGAUGCUCAGUAACAAACUCCACCAAUGAGCCAACAGGGAAGCUUUAGGUUUAUUAAAUGUUGCUAUGAAGGUAUCGCUGUUUUUCUUUGUGAAUGCAAUGUGCUCCAACUGAAACUUGAAUUAGAACUUAGAAGUAAAUCCUUCCAUCUGAAAGGAUUUAGUUGCAUUAAUAACCUCAUAACAUUCUAAUUUUUAUUCCAGUCUUGGUUGGAAAUAGAAUCUCUGUAUUGAUUCAGGUAAAAACUGAACUUCACAGCAUGUUGGAGCAAAACAACCAGAUGAAAACUGUGAUGGUGUUGGAUUGUCAGACCGUAAUGUUGCAGCUCAAAGCAGCUUUUCUAUCUCAGUUCAUUCUGACAUUCAGCUAUGAAUCAACACAGCAGAUGGUGAUCCAUGCUGUGGAAGUCUCACAUCUCCUGAUUUAAUGGAGCUGCUUUGCACUUUUUACACUGUUUAUUCACCAACACUUUAUUUAAUAAAAGUCCCAUCUAGUUUUUAUGAGGAAUGUGAUGUUUUAAUUUCUCUGUGAAUAACUGCAGUCUAAUGCAACAGCUGGAGUUGUAACAUCUGUCCUGAUAUUGAUCAUGAAGUAUUGAUCAGAAUACUUAUGGUUAGCAGUCAUCCCUGAAGUUUUACAUUAAAAUCUUUACUUGUGUUGUGAACUUUAGUAAGAAGCAGAAAUGUUAGCGUUGCCAUGGAUACAUGAGUGUUAAAUUCUGUCCAUGUUUCCAUUUUGGGAAAUGCAGUCCAGUUCCUGAAUGUGGAGGAAUUUAGUCUCACAAUCACAGACAACAAAUAUUAUCUGAAAGUCUGAUUAUUGUUGUUUAUCAGCACAAUACAAAAAGAUUAAUGUUAGAAAUAUUCCAGUUAAGACUCUAGAAUAUCAUGAUUUAUGUAAAUUUACCUCAAUAAUAUGAAUGUUCAGGUGAAGAUUGUACAGUGAUAUUUAUUAUGCAAGUUUAGCUGAUUAAAGUUUAUGACUCUGCAGUAAAAUAUUAUUUAAAUUGACAUCAUUAUUAUAAUAUUUAGGGUCAGACCCUACAGUAUUGAGAUUAAGAAAUCAAAUAUUCUAUAAAAUGUAAAUACACUGAACUCAUUUGGAUAUAUUUAAGUGAGACUCUACAAUAUUAUUUGACACAAAUCUAUCUAAAUCAAAAUUUUAAUAAUUUUCACGCCAAACAUUUACUGGACUGAUUUAAAUAUUAAAAUCACUCCUUUCUAAUCCUCUGCUGUACGUUCAAACCUGAGGCCUUAAAUAGAAACACACAAGUAUCUGAUUGAAGGAACUUCUGCAGAGUCCUGGUUCCAGAACAUGAUGAUAGAAUUAUAGACAAACUUUAACAAAAGCUGCCUGAGAGUUUACAGGUUUUUAUGUUGGAUUUCUUCAGUAAUUUAAUGAGAGUUAUCAGCAAAAAUCAAGUGUUCAUUUGAUGAACUUCAUUUCCUAAAACAUCCAGAAUUGGAGCUCAUAUCUUUGGCAGCUGUAAAGUUUCUGCUCCUUCAAAGUUCACAACACAAUGAAUUAAUUCCUAAAACACUCUCAAUGCUGGAGAGCGUUUGUGAUGCUGAAGCAGUGACCAGUUUUUCUGUUUCUUCUCUGGAGAUGCACAAUGAGGGACGUCUGCAGAGACUGAGAAAGAGUCUCACCACAUCCUGACAUGAGGAAAAAGACUUUAUUGAAGACUACAAUGAGAAAAACUAUCAGACAGCAGACGGCUGCAUUCAAGUCUGUAGCUGCUGAAUUCAUGGAUGAAUCAUCUGGCACUAGAGAAGACCAUCAAACAUCCACGUCAGCUGAUGGAGGUCCAAGAGUCUCACCAAACAAACAACCUACAGAGUGAAGACCUCGAAUCUGAUUGGACGGCCUCCUAUUCAGCCACAUUUUAGGCUGUUAGAUUGUUCCAGAUAAGACAAGUACAAGAUUCUUCAGAGCCGUUCUACCACGAGCCUGACAGGAAGAACUCCAACAGCUACUGAAUGUUCCUGUGGUUCCCUCAAGGCUACAGGAGGAGCCCUACGAGGACGAGCCGGUCCACCUGAUGGAGGCCAGUCGCUGCGGUUCAAAGCCAACACCGACUACGUGGACUUCUACUGGACCACAUGGAGGCCUUCAAACCGGACCAACAAGUUCACCGACUCCCCGACUCGUGGGUCUGAGGACGCCGCCGAGCCUCGGUCCAGCCGGCCUCCUGUCUGUGGGUGUUUGAGUGCUGAGAGGUUUGUGGAUGCAUGUGAACGUGUCUGUGUUGAAACAGCAGCUUUGGACUCACUAACGCCGGGAAAAACCAAGAGCUCCUUUAUUUGUGACUUCCACUAAAAAAACUGAUGAAAAUAAGUUUGCCAGGGUUCUGACUGAUAACAGAUUAUUAAAUAAUGAAAAUAAUAGUUUAAAUAUUCCUUUAAACAAUCCUUUUAGGUCUACAUUUCCUUUACACUGACUUCUUGGUAUAUGUACAAGUAUUUUGGGUGGAAUAUACCAUUAAGCCCGAUGUUCAAGGGUUCUUCUGGGAAUAUACCAUUAAACCAACCUUUUAGGUAAAUGUUCCAGGAUGUUGGGUAGAAUAUACCAUCAGAUCAACCUUUUAGGUCUACAUUGGAAGAUUUUAGAGUAGAAUAUUACUCCAAACCAUCCUUUAGGUCUACAUUUAAGGUGGAAUACUCCUUUACACCAAGAUUUUUUGGUCUACAUUGAAAGAUUUUAGGUGGAAUAUUCCUUUGAAUGAACUUUUUAAGUUUAUGUUCAAGGAUGUUGGGUGGAAUAUACCAUCAGACCAACCUCCAAGGUCUACAGUAGUGAAUUUUAGGUGGAAUAUACCAUUAAACUCACCUUUUAGGUCUACAUUGGAGGAUUUUAGGUGGAAUUUUCUUCCAAACCGUCUUUUAGUCUACAUUUAAGGAUGUUUAGGAUGGUAUAUUCUUCCAAACCAACUUCUCAGGUCUACAUUUCAAGUGGAAUAUUCCUCAAUACUAACUUUUUUGGUUGACAUUGAAGGAUUUUUUCUAAACCACCCUUUUGGGUCUAUGUUUGAGGUUUUAGGUGGAAUAUUCCUUUUAACCAGCCCCUCAGGUCUCUUUGAGGAUUUUGGAUGGAAUACUCGGUUAAACCAACAUUUAGGUGCAUGUCCAAGGAUUUUUGGUGGAAUGUUCCUUUAAGGUGGAUGUGUGAGGACCUUGUAGGUGGAAUACUUCCUGAAACCAACCUUUUAGGUCAACAUUCAAAGAUUUAAGGUGGAAUAUUCCUUUAAACCAACCUAAAUUUCAUGUUUUGAUCAUUAUCAAGUGAGAAACCUCAAUCCAGACUCCUCAUAAUGACAUUUGAGAUUUAUGCUGCUGUUAUUUGUUUAGUCCAGACUAAAUGACAGAAAUCCACAACUGUAAUUUUAUUUCAGGACUCGGUUAUUAAAUGUCAAAACAAUCCACGUGACUCUAAAAACUCAACAGCUGUACAAACUCUAAGAUUAAACUCUCCACAAGGAUCCAAAAUAAGUUGGACUUCUACAUGAGAGCUUUAAUUAUUCUUCAUCUACUUCCUGAAAAGUUUGGUCAAUAAAAAAGACAAAAACUAAUAUUUUCAGCUGAACUAAAGACAGACUUUGUGAUUUUUCUGCUCACAUGUUGUGUUGUUGUAAACUUACUCUUUCAAAUAAAUAGCCGCCUAACCCCCUGGAAACCAGCGUUUGUCCUGUUUUUGUGUUGCUCCUUGGCGACCCUAGACAGCCGGGUCAUAAUGUUUUUUGAGCAACACACCAUACUAUGAUGUUUUUACAAUGAUGGUUCUACUAUGGAACCAGUUUGACAUGUUCAGGUGUUCUUUGUGUGAAAACUCAGAGAUUUCAGGUAUCAGAAGGUGGUUUUCAACUUUCUUUGUUAACUUUCUGCAUCAACUUUAAACUAAAUUUCCUUCACUAACCCCGCCCUCUGGACUUCCAGUAAGCUGUGUUCCUAUUGGCUGUCCAGGUGGCUGCUUGGUGUUAUUAGUAACACCUGAGCAGCUCAGUGUCUUCCUGCUUUAUUUAGCUGCAGACAAACAUUUCCUCUGCUUCUCUUCACUAGUGAACCGGGUUUGGCUCUGUUACUCUAGUUUGUUCUUUAGGCGUUGGCUUGAAGCUUCCAGCAGUAAAACAGUCUUUAAUGUGUUUCUUGGUGUGUUUUAGGGCUUUGUACUGGAUAGUUGUCUUGGUAAAUGUGGUUCUUUAGCCACAGCUAGCACAUGGUGCUAAUGUGUGCAGUGAUUAGUGGAUUUGAUGCAGCUGAGUUGUGUCUUUAUCUUGACUGUAGUGAGGCUUUAGAGGUUUUUGGUCAGACACAUUCUGUAUUCUUGUUUGUGAAGCAACGUUGGUUGUCCAGAAGGUAAGCGUUCCUGUCCUGAUUCUCUGUUCUCAGAGGUUCUCUGGUAGGCUGCAGGAGACUUUAGCGUUUGGGUUGUGCUAGUUUGGUUUUUGUACGGUUUCAUUUGGACGACUAUCUUGAGGCCCCUCCAUGUGGUUUAGUGAGGUUUUCUGCAACAGUUCUACAUAGCAACCUGCAGCAGAAGAGACUUUGAGAGUUUUUAGGAAGUUCUGGAGACCAGACUUUAGAGCAACAGAAACAUUUGUCAGCAGUUUGAGCAGGAGAAGGUGAGCUUCAGAGUAGAAAUGAGACAGAAACCUUCUUGACCCGUGUGGUGAGGUCCUGUACCAAGAGUUUGAGCAGGUUGUGAAGAGUCUGUAGUUCUUUGGUCUGAAAGCACAAGAAGAGUUGACUCAUUAAAGGAGAAAACAGGAGAUAUUGUUGGUUCUUCUGUCACAGCAGUUUCCUUAGACUGAAUAUCAAGUUUAUAUUUUAAAUGAUUUCCCAUGUGAGCCCAAGAAGACUUCAGUAAACUCCCUCCAUCCCCUGGACACAACGUAUUUUAUUACCAUGUUAAAUCCUUUUUUUAAAAAAAUGUUUUUGAGUUUUAAUCACAGUUUUAGCAUAGUUUUUUUCUCUUUCCUUGUUUAGUUUUGUCAUCUGUGUAAAAGGUGCUAAACAAAUAAAGUUGAAUUGAUAAACUGAAUAAUUGACUAACUCAUGAUUGU